rnacentral:sRNA from 1 species
CCGGUUUGAUCGGGAUACUCAUCAAAUAAAAUUGAAAACCGAGACAGCUACCUUUGUCAAUGGCGGGCCAUAUAAAUCCUUCAUGGACUAAGCUGCAAAGCCGGUGGAUUACAAAGACGGGGAGCUCUCAAAUCAUGUAUACUCGGAGUUUCAUCACAUCACCGGGCGACCCCUU